CGCCGCUGCAGUCUGCUCCGCCCAGCCGCGCUGCGCCCCUCCACCACGUGAGCUCCCUGCCCCGGCGCCCUGCUCUCCGCCUGGCCGCCCCAGAGAGGCGCGGAGCUGGGGAGGGCGCAGCCGGUCCGUGUCUAGAGAGCCGCAGCACCGCUCAACCCUCGCCUCCUGCCCUGGGGUGUCUCGGGCUAGGCACGGGGCAAGUCCUACCCCUUCCUCCCGGGACCAUGAGACUCUCCGCUGGGGCUGCCAGCCCCUUGCACGCUGCGGCGCUGCUGCUGCUGCUGCUCGCCGCCUUCUGCCUCUCCGCGUCCGGGACUACAAACACAUCCAUCCCAACCACAACCACACAAUCCACUUCAAAUACUUCAGCACAUGAUAAAAAUGUCACUCUCACGACUACAUUGGGUUCAAGCCUGAAGUGAAAUCUUAAAUACUACCUAUGGUAAGGGCUGUUUUGAUAUUUACAGAUGACUGUGCCAUUUGGAGGGUUUACAUAUCAUUUUUAAAAUGUGUUCUGUAUUUUACUUAAUGUGUUUUACGCAUGCUUCAGAGAGGAGCUGAAUUUCCUAAUUGCUACAAGGUAAGCACAUGAAUGGAACAGCGCCAGAUAUUUAAUCAGAAUGAAUGUUGCCUUUGAACUGCACAUGAGGGAUAUGAUGUGCCAUUUCACAGUAUCAAAGGAGAGUGAUAAAUAAGAUGUAUUAUGG
ensembl:lncRNA